rnacentral:rRNA from 1 species
UACGAAGGGGGCUAGCGUUGUUCGGAAUUACUGGGCGUAAAGGGCGCGUAGGCGGUGUGUCAAGUCAGGCGUGAAAGCCCCGGGCUCAACCUGGGAACAGCGCUUGAGACUGGCACGCUCGAGUUCGGGAGAGGAUGGUGGAAUUCCCGGUGUAGUGGUGAAAUGCGUAGAUAUCGGGAGGAACACCAGUGGCGAAGGCGACUUUCUGGCCUGUUCUUGACGCUGAGGCGCGAAAGCUAGGGGAGCAAACGGG